rnacentral:rRNA from 1 species
AGAGUUUGAUCAUGGCUCAGGAUGAACGCUAGCGGCAGGCUUAAUACAUGCAAGUCGAGGGGGAUUAACUGGGUAGCAAUACUCGGUUAUGAGACCGGCAAACGGGUGCGGAACACGUACGCAACCUUCCCAAAACUGGUGAAUAGCCCUCCGAAAGGAGGAUUAAUACACCGUAACUUAAUGAAGUGGCAUCGCUUUAUUAAUAUAGCUCCGGCGGUUUUGGAUGGGCGUGCGCCUGAUUAGGUAGUUGGCGGGGUAACGGCCCACCAAGCCUACGAUCAGUAACUGGUGUGAGAGCACGACCAGUCACACGGGCACUGAGACACGGGCCCGACUCCUACGGGAGGCAGCAGUAAGGAAUAUUGGUCAAUGGACGAAAGUCUGAACCAGCCAUGCCGCGUGAAGGAUGACGGCCCUCUGGGUUGUAAACUUCUUUUAUCUGGGACGAAAAAAGAUCAUUCCUGAUCACUUGACGGUACCAGAGGAAUAAGCACCGGCUAACUCCGUGCCAGCAGCCGCGGUAAUACGGAGGGUGCAAGCGUUAUCCGGAUUUACUGGGUUUAAAGGGUGCGUAGGUGGGUCUGUAAGUCAGUGGUGAAAUCUUCGAGCUUAACUCGGAAACUGCCAUUGAUACUAUAGGUCUUGAAUCAUCUGGAGGUGAGCGGAAUAUGUCAUGUAGCGGUGAAAUGCUUAGAUAUGACAUAGAACACCGAUUGCGAAGGCAGCUCACUACGGAUGUAUUGACACUGAGGCACGAAAGCGUGGGGAUCAAACAGGAUUAGAUACCCUGGUAGUCCACGCCCUAAACGAUGGAUACUCGACAUUUGCGACAUACUGUAAGUGUCUGAGCGAAAGCAUUAAGUAUCCCACCUGGGAAGUACGAUCGCAAGAUUGAAACUCAAAGGAAUUGACGGGGUCCGCACAAGCGGUGGAGCAUGGUGGUUUAAUUCGA